rnacentral:rRNA from 1 species
AUUGAACGCUGGCGGCGUGCCUAACACAUGCAAGUCGAGCGGUAACAGGUGUAGCAAUACAUGCUGACGAGCGGCGAACGGGUGAGUAAUGCUUUGGAAUCUUCCCAGUAGUGGGGAAUAACCAGUCGAAAGAUUGGCUAAUACCGCAUACGUCUGUAAAGGGAAAGCGGGGGCUCGUAAGACCUCGCGCUAUUGGAUGAGCCAAAGUCGGAUUAGCUAGUUGGGGGGUAAUGGCCUACCAAGGCGACAAUCCGUAGCUGGUCUGAGAGGACGACCAGCCACACCGGAACUGAGACACGGUCCGGACUCCUACGGGAGGCAGCAGUGGGGAAUAUUGGACAAUGGGGGAAACCCUGAUCCAGCGACGCCGCGUGUGUGAAGAAGGCCUGCGGGUUGUAAAGCACUUUUAGU